AAAUUGCAACAACUCUUCACAACUAUUACAUCAUUACUAUGUUACACCAGCAUGUCUGGAGGAAACAAUCCUAAACACAGCUAUUCUUGUGUGGUGACAAGGCUAAGGUGUGAAGGAAUCUGACUGCGCCUGUCUCUCAGAUGCCCCAUACGUUUGAAUUCCAUCAUGAAAUAAAGGUGGAGUAAAAAUGUAAUAAUGAAAUAAAGCAAUGAUAAAACUCA